CGUUAGCUCAGUCGGUAGAGCAGUUGACUUUUAAUCAAUUGGUCGCAGGUUCGAAUCCUGCACG
rnacentral:tRNA from 1 species